GCCCAGGUGGCGAAAUAGGUAGACGCAGCAGACUCAAAAUCUGCCGGUGGCAACACCAUGCCGGUUCGAUUCCGGCCCUGGGCACCA
rnacentral:tRNA from 1 species